ACGGCCAUAACAUGCUGAAUAAGCCGGUUCUCGUUCGAUCACCGAAGUCAAGCAUUAUCAGGCGCAGUCAGUACCUGGGAGUUUGACCACAUGGGAACAUAGCAAGCCG